rnacentral:rRNA from 1 species
CAGUCGCCGCGGUAAUACGAAGGGUGCAAGCGUUAAUCGGAAUUACUGGGCGUAAAGCGCGCGUAGGUGGUUCAUUAAGUUGGAUGUGAAAUCCCUGAGCUUAACUUAGGAAUUGCAUUCGAUACUGGCAAGCUAGAGUAUGGUAGAGGGUGGUGGAAUUUCCUGUGUAGCGGUGAAAUGCGUAGAUAUAGGAAGGAACACCAGUGGCGAAGGCGACCACCUGGACUGAUACUGACACUGAGGUGCGAAAGCGUGGGGAGCAAACAGGAUUAGAUACCCCUGUAGUCCCUGUCUCUUAUAC